rnacentral:rRNA from 1 species
GAUUCAUGAUAACUCGUCGAAUCGCACGGCCUUGCGCCGGCGAUGGUUCAUUCAAAUUUCUUCCCUAUCAACUUUCGAUGUUUGGGUAGUGGCCAAACAUGGUGGCAACGGGUAACGGAGGGUUAGGGCUCGACCCCGGAGAAGGAGCCUGAAAAACGGCUACUACAUCCAAGGAAGGCAGCAGGCGCGCAAAUUACCCAAUCCCGAUACGGGGAGGUAGUGACAAUAAAUACUGAUACAGGGCUCUUUUGGGUCUUGUAAUUGGAAUGAGUACAAUUUAAAUCCCUUAACGAGGAACAAUUGGAGGGCAAGUCUGGUGCCAGCAGCCGCGGUAAUUCCAGCUCCAAUAGCGUAUAUUAAAGUUGUUGUGGUUAAAAAGCUCGUAGUUGAAUCUUGGGCCUGGGUGGCCGGUCCGCCUCACCGCGUGUACUGGUCCGGCCGGGUCUUUCACUCUGCGGAACCACAUGCCCUUCAGUGGGUGUGGCGGGGAACCAGGACUUUUAC